rnacentral:rRNA from 1 species
AGUGAACACUGGCGGUAGGCCUAACACAUGCAAGUCGAACGGCAGCACAGUAAGAGCUUGCUCUUACGGGUGGCGAGUGCGGACGGGUGAGGAAUACAUCGGAAUCUACUUUUUCGUGGGGGAUAACGUAGGGAAACUUACGCUAAUACCGCAUACGACCUACGGGUGAAAGCAGGGGAUCUUCGGACCUUGCGCGAUUGAAUGAGCCGAUGUCGGAUUAGCUAGUUGGCGGGGUAAAGGCCCACCAAGGCGACGAUCCGUAGCUGGUCUGAGAGGAUGAUCAGCCACACUGGAACUGAGACACGGUCCAGACUCCUACGGGAGGCAGCAGUGGGGAAUAUUGGACAAUGGGCGCAAGCCUGAUCCAGCCAUACCGCGUGGGUGAAGAAGGCCUUCGGGUUGUAAAGCCCUUUUGUUGGGAAAGAAAAGCAGCAGGUUAAUACCCCGCUGUUCUGACGGUACCCAAAGAAUAAGCACCGGCUAACUUCGUG